rnacentral:rRNA from 1 species
AAUUCACAUAGGUAGUGAAACGUUCUAUAAAUUUUAGAAAAAUAGUUAUAUUUUUUGGUAUAGAUAGAAGUGAGUAUGCUCGCAUGAGUAGCCAAAGUAAAAACAAACUACAACCGGAAACCCAAGGUUAUCUGAUCUUAAAGUAGACAGAGUGAAACGGUCUCUAAGAUUUAAUAAAUCAAUAGAGAAAACCUUUUAAAGUUUUGUUUAAAUUAUAAGCUUUGUAUACUAUUGUAUACUUUUUUAAUGUUUUUAGCAAUCUUUUUGUUCUAUCUGCAACAGUGUAAACUGUUGCAGAUCUGUGUUUGCUAAAGCAAACACUUGGUGCUCCGCAC